CAUUAUGAAGCUAGUAAGCGUUAACCUUUUAAGUUAAAGACUAGGGAUAGAAUUUCCUCAUAAUGA
rnacentral:tRNA from 1 species